rnacentral:rRNA from 14 species
AAAAAAAAAAAAAAAAAAAAAAAAGAGGAAGUCGUGCCCAUCCUGGCGAGGUCGCAUCGGCACGGUGAUUCGCACGUUUGUUUGUU